CCCUUAGAUGUUCUGGGCCGCACGCGCGCUACACUGAUGAACGCAACGAGACCACCUGUACCGAAAGGCAUGGGUAAACUUGUGAAAGUUCAUCGUGAUGGGGAUAGAUUAUUGCAAUUAUUAAUCUUCAACGAGGAAUUCCUAGUAAGCGCGAGUCAUCAGCUCGCGUUGAUUACGUCCCUGCCCUUUGUACACACCGCCCGUCGCUCCUACCGAUUGAAUGGUCCGGUGAAAUCUUCGGAUUGCUGGAUAGGACUUCAUUGACCUAUCUGCGAGAAGUUGUUUGAACCUUAUCAUUUAGAGGAAGGAGAANUCGUANCA
rnacentral:rRNA from 1 species